rnacentral:sRNA from 1 species
CUCUUUCUUCCUGUCUGCUUGGAAAGAUGGCGUCCCGCAAGGAAGGUACCGGGUCUACUGCCACCUCUUCGAGCUCCACCGCCGGCGCAGCAGGGAAAGGCAAAGGCAAAGGCGGCUCCGGAGAUUCAGCCGUGAAGCAAGUGCAGAUAGAUGGCCUUGUGGUAUUAAAGAUAAUCAAACAUUAUCAAGAAGAAGGACAAGGAACUGAAGUUGUUCAAGGAGUGCUUUUGGGUCUGGUUGUAGAAGAUCGGCUUGAAAUUACCAACUGCUUUCCUUUCCCUCAGCACACAGAGGAUGAUGCUGACUUUGAUGAAGUCCAAUAUCAGAUGGAAAUGAUGCGGAGCCUUCGCCAUGUAAACAUUGAUCAUCUUCAUGUGGGCUGGUAUCAGUCCACAUACUAUGGCUCAUUCGUUACCCGGGCGCUCCUGGACUCUCAGUUUAGUUACCAGCAUGCCAUUGAAGAAUCUGUCGUUCUCAUUUAUGGUUAGUAGGAGGUUUAUUAUUCUUUUUUCCCUUAAUAUUAUUACUACUAUUUUUGCUUUCUGUCUUUUUUGCCUCUAAGAGCAGUCUGGCAGGCCUUCUCAAGUAAAUACCAACCCUGUUUCUGCAGCAGCCUCAGCAGCAGCUCAGUCUAGACAGGGUUUCCUUCUUUCUGUUUAUUUUUCUUGCUAUCAGAGCCCUGAUGUGUACAUUUUGGAAUGCUGGAGUAGCUGCUUCAUUUUUAUUCCUCCAUCUCCCCUCCCUCAUUGAAGGGGCCGGUGGAACUAGACCAGAUGUCUAACAAACCCCGAUUGCUAGAGUGUCUGGCUCUGUACGUGACUGACCAAUCAUAAUACAGUGUGCCAAGUUUUUUUUAUACCUCUGACAACAGCGUACAAAACCUGGACUGUUUCUUAGCACAAAGAUUUUUUUCUUUUCGGCCUAUUUAAUGGUGUUUCCUCAAGCUCUCCAGACCAGAUGUUCUGUGCUGUAUCAGAACUGUAGGCAAUUUAACAGCUUUAUAGCCUUCCCCCUCCCCAAACACUCACAGUUUGCCAUAUCUGGCAG